GGGGGGUGAAGCAGACUUGGUAUAACUGACUUUUGUUGUUCUUGAUGCAUUCUUCUCGUUUUAAAUCGGCCCCUUUCAGAUUGUGUGUAGCCAUAAACGGCUUUUCUUCUUACAGGGGUAGCGAGCAAAGGACCAGCGUUCAGCGAGGAGCAUGAGCGGCAGUACGCUGAAGUAGGAGCACUAGCUCUUGUGAAAAAUCUGCGGACUAGGGGGCUAGUAAAGAGGGAGAGAUGCCCAGAGAGCAUACAGCUGUUUCGGUCGAGCGAGAGCGAGUUCUCCAGCGGCUGAAGAGUGGUUCUUGAAUCGGACAGAUGAUGUUCCAUCCUCUUUUCUGCCAAUCACCCAAAGAUGAGGACAACACCCAAACUGGCACAAAAGGUGAGAGGAGGUUGCUGAAAUCCAUAUGACCAAGACACACCUGUCUGUCCAGGAGACGGAUACCUCACCUGUCUGUCCAGGAGACGGAUACCUCACCUGUCUGUCCAGGAGACGGAUACCUCACCUGUCUGUCCAGGAGACGGAUACCUCACCUGUCUGUCCAGGAGACGGAUACCUCACCUGUCUGUCCAGGAGACGGAUACCUCACCUGUCUGUCCAGGAGACGGAUACCUCACCUGUCUGUCCAGGAGACGGAUACCUCACCAGAUAUGAGGCUUACUGCUGCUAGUUGGAAACACAUGUACCUCCCUGCCUUGUGAUAGCCUGCUGCCCCGAAAAGAGUGCUGAAUGCAUCUGUCUGUCUGGACGAGGAACUCCCAGACACAUAUUCACCUCCACCUGCUGUCUGUCUGAGCAGACACUCAGCCCAUCCAGGCAGGCCCAGAGCAGCGCGACAAGUGGCCCACGUGGAGGGGAGUGCUGCUGUGCUACAAAAGCUUCAGACAGCCCAGAAGUAGUGGGACUGGUCCAGCCAGUUACUCACUGGAGCUUUAGCAGCAGACCAGGACCAAACAAGAGAUCAUGCCACAGAACACCCACCCACUGGCUGCCAUUUUAUCACAGGGGGCCCACUAUCCGCCUGUGUGUUUUUGCAUGCAAUCGCUUUAUCUGGAUACCACCAUGCUCGAUGCAGGCUCAUGAAACGACUGUAAUGACAAGAUGCUACAAGACGUACAGUACCACAGACAGUGUUCCUCCAGUCAAGCCCUGGGUUCACUCCUCUACAGUUAACACAGUGUUUAUCCCCCUUUCAUUGUGUAAAUUACAGUGUCAGUCACUCAUCAGAGAAUCAGAUCAGCUGCGUGCUUAGCAUGCAUUCCAGCAGACUCAUCUGAGCAUUAAAAUUAUUCUGCCAUCUUUCUGUGACCCAAUGACACAGCUGGAUCCAUUUCAAGAACAAGAGAGGUAAGGUGUCUUCCCCCAAGGAGACAGUAGCUGGGUGAGGGAUCCACCUUGUAGUCUAAAGCAACACCAGCUGUCUUCCUCCAGGCCUGAGACCUGAACACCAUGACUACACGUCACAUCACCAUAUUCUCAUGGACUAGCAAGACAUUAAGCAACAAGGCCUGUUAUGGUGAUUGAUAGGGUGUGGAAAGGUGUGAAACUUGGGUCUGUGUGUGUGUGCACCUGUCUGGGUCUCUUAAUUAUUCUAACCCAUACUGUAGACAAUAGCUUCUCUGAUACAAACUACAAAGUGUAAAUAGGAUAAUUUUGUCAUAAAGUGACUUUGUCAUGACUUACUUGGGUUUUGAUUUUGACAGUGCUCCCUUGCCCAGUAACAUGGGAUACACAGCUGUGGUGAUUGCGCUCUAUCCAAUCCUUCCGCAGAACACACAGACAGUGAGACAGACCUGCCCAUCAGCACAGAGGACCUGACUUUGUUUACAUAAGACAACACGUCACAACACGUUUACUCAAGAAAUACUAUAGCAAACACAAUAGCUAGAUAUCUUAGAUUCAUUCAGACUAUUUUAAGGAUGUGAUACUGGCUUUGUUUCUGACUUGUCAUUGGGGACAAACAUCAGUAACUGUUGCAUCGAACCACACCCCAAAUCAAAUCAAAUUUUAUUUGUCACAUGCGCCGAAUACAACAGGUGUAGACCUUACGGUGAAAUGCUUACUUACAAUCCUUAACCAACAAUGCCGUUCAAGAGAGUUAAGAAAAUAUUUACUAAAUAAACCAUAAAAAUGUUUUAAUAAAUAAGUAACACAAGAAAAUGACAUAACAAUAAUGAGGCUAUAUACAGGGGGUACCAGUACCCGAGUCAAUGUGCGGGGUACAGGUUAGUAGAGGUCAUUUGUAAAGUGACUUGCUGAAACCUUGUUUUUAUUCAUGAACAACAGAGAAACACAUGACGUAUUGGUGAAUUCAGUCGCUUUUUAAUGUUACUGUUAACUACAUAAAACUCAUUUAUGAGCAAUAAAUAAGCAUAAUAUGAAAGCUACAUAGAACGUAAGCAAAGCUUUAUAAUGCCCCUCAAUCUAUCCAGCAACCUUAAUGAUUGAUAGUACUUUGUAGUUUGUAAAGUGUAUAUUUACAAUUUGGGGGUACUAUCUUUUGUAAUGGCUGAAAACUAGAUUAGCAACUGGGGGGUGGGGUGGAUUUGCAGGAAGGGGGUAGUUAGAUUUUUUUUUUUAUCCCGCACUCCUCUGUCAUUGUAGGUAGUAAUGGAGCAUGACAGUUCCAUGGUUUUUGAAUGACCUUUCACCCCUGAAAUGGUGCCAUGGAAGCCCCCCCUAACAGAGCCAGUAUGUAGACCUCACCGCAUUGUUUCAUCAGAUUAGUGGAGAUUGCUGGAAAACUCCAGCGGACGUGUAGCUUGUGUGCACAGUAAGCCUGUCAUGAUCGUCUCCUCUUCCCUACUUCUCAAAAAACAACCAAAACCAGUUCCCAAGCUCAUUACAUGUGCUCCUUUCUACAUUACACACGCACGAAUGGAAGAGGGGGGGGGCAAUAAAUCCCAGAGAAGAAUUACAGUUUGAAAAUGUAUCACUUUACUUGAGUGGUCCAAAAUUUGAAGAGGCUCAGAAUGUCUGUGUGGAAAAAAAGAAACACUCAGUAUUGGCAAUUAAAAUCCAAAUGGACAAGACACUUAGUACUGUUAACGCUGGCCCCUUAGGUAGAACCAAUUUCCCCCAGCUAUACAACUUAUAAUUAUCCUGAUGUUAAUCGCAGCAAGAUGACUGUGAGGGAUUGGCCUUUCCCCUCGCUUUUAUUCUGACUCAGAUCUUAUCUCUUUGAAAAGCUAUGUCAGACCGGGGUCUCUGCUCAACACCAGGAUGUUUUUCUCCUAACUAAUUUGAUAGAAAGGGGAAUAAAUGUGUUGCCUCUUGGCAGGAUGCAACCUGGACUCACGAGGUACAACUAACAUAAUAAAUGUAAAUCUGGGACACUAACUACACUGAACAAAAAUAUAAACACAAUAUGUAAAGUGUUGGUCCUAUGUUUCAUGAGCUAAAAUAAAAGAUUCCAGAAAUGUUCCACAUGCACAAAAAGCUUAUUUCUCUUUGAGGGAGCGUGCGAUUGUCAUGCUGACUGCAGGAAUGUCUACCAGAGCUGUUGACAGAUAAUUUCAUGUUCAUUUCUCUAACAUAAGCCGCCUCCAACGUUGUUUUAAAUAAUUUUUAAGUGCAUUUAACCAGCCUCACAAGCGCAGACCACGUGUAUAGCGUUGUGUGGGCGAGAGGUUUGUUGAUGUCAACUUGUGAACAGAGUGCCCAUGGUGGCGGUGGGGUUAUGGUAUGGGCAGGCAUAAGCUACGGACAAUGAACACAAUUGCAUUUUAUCGAUGGCAACUGGAAUGCACAGAGAUUCCGCAACGAGAUCCUGAGGUCCAGUGUCGUGCCAU
ensembl:lncRNA